AACAGGCUCCCCCAAACUCCAGCCCUCCAGAUGUUGCAGAAUUAAAACCCCCAUGAUUCUAUGAAUGAAAUAGAUAGGCUGAGAAUCAUGGGAGUUGUAUUUCAGCAACAUCUGGAGGGCCGGAGCUUGGGGAAGCCUGGUUUAAAAC